rnacentral:rRNA from 1 species
AGAGUUUGAUCAUGGCUCAGGACGAACGCUGGCGGCGCGCCUAACACAUGCAAGUCGAACGAGAGAUGAGGAGCUUGCUCUUCAAAUCGAGUGGCGAACGGGUGAGUAACGCGUGAGGAACCUGCCUCAAAGAGGGGACAACAGUUGGAAACGACUGCUAAUACCGCAUAAGCCCACGGCUCGGCAUCGAGCAGGGGAAAAGGAGCAAUCCGCUUUGAGAUGGCCUCGCGUCCGAUUAGCUAGUUGGUGAGGUAACGGCCACCAAGGCGACGAUCGGUAGCCGGACUGAGAGGUUGAACGGCCACAUUGGGACUGAGACACGGCCCAGACUCCUACGGGGGCA